UGGGGAAUUUUGGACAAUGGGGGAAACCCUGAUCCAGCCAUCCCGCGUGUGCGAUGAAGGCCUUCGGGUUGUAAAGCACUUUUGGCAGGAAAGAAACGUCGCGGGUUAAUACCCCGCGAAACUGACGGUACCUGCAGAAUAAGCACCGGCUAACUACGUGCCAGCAGCCGCGGUAAUACGUAGGGUGCAAGCGUUAAUCGGAAUUACUGGGCGUAAAGCGUGCGCAGGCGGUUCGGAAAGAAAGAUGUGAAAUCCCAGAGCUUAACUUUGGAACUGCAUUUUUAACUACCGGGCUAGAGUGUGUCAGAGGGAGGUGGAAUUCCGCGUGUAGCAGUGAAAUGCGUAGAUAUGCGGGGGAACACCGAUGGCGAAGGCAGCCUCCUGGGAUAACACUGACGCUCAUGCACGAAAGCGUGGGGAGCAAACAGGAUUAGAUACCCUGGUAGUCCACGCCCUAAACGAUGUCAACUAGCUGUUGGGGCCUUCGGGCCUUGGUAGCGCAGCUAACGCGUGAAGUUGACCGCCUGGGGAGUACGGUCGCAAGAUUAAAACUUAAAUGAAUUGACGGGGUCAUAGCUGUUUUCCUG
rnacentral:rRNA from 1 species